AAUGAACGCUGGCGGCGUGCUUAACACAUGCAAGUCGCACGAGAACGCUUCAGCUUGCUGAAGCUAGUAAAGUGGCGCACGGGUGAGUAUCGCGUGGGUAAUCUACCCUUCUGCCGGGAAUAACGUUGCGAAAGCGGCGCUAAUGCCCGGUAACAUUUCGGCAUCUCCGGUUGCUGAAAUCAAAGGUGGCCUCUCCAUGGAAGCUACCGCAGGAGGAUGAGCCCGCGUCCCAUUAGCUAGUUGGCGGGGUAAUGGCCCACCAAGGCGACGAUGGGUAGCUGGUCUGAGAGGAUGAUCAGCCACACUGGAACUGACACACGGUCCAGACUCCUACGGGAGGCAGCAGUGAGGAAUUUUGCGCAAUGGGCGAAAGCCUGACGCAGCAACGCCGCGUGGGUGAUGAAGGCCUUUGGGUCGUAAAGCCCUGUCAAGUGGGAAGAACCCGCAUGGUGCGAAUAGUGCCGUGCGCUGACGGUACCACUGAAGGAAGCACCGGCUAACUCCGUGCCAGCAGCCGCGGUAAUACGGGGGGUGCAAGCGUUAUUCGGAAUUAUUGGGCGUAAAGGGCGCGUAGGCGGCCGUUUAAGUCAGAUGUGAAAGCCCGGGGCUCAACCUUGGAAGUGCAUUUGAAACUGGACGGCUUGAGUAUGGGAGAGGGAAGCGGAAUUCCUGGUGUAGAGGUGAAAUGCGUAGAUAUCGGGAGGAACACCAGUAGCGAAGGCGGCUACCUGGCUGAUAACUGACGCUGAGGUGCGAGAGCGUGGGGAUCAAACA
rnacentral:rRNA from 1 species